GUCUCUGUCUGAGCCAUGGCUGGAGACUUCUGUGUAAUGAAAAAACCUUCCAUAGUUAAUAUUUUUUGUCCCUCUAGUAAUAUUAGCUAAGAUAAUGUUAUAAUAGAUUUUUGAGCAGAAGUCUUAGUUCUGCUGUGCAAAGUUGAAAUACACUAUGGAAGACUUUUUUUAUCUUUGCAGCAUUUCUAGGGAUUUCUUUUUUUCCAGAAACAUGAAAAGAAAAAAGCAUUGGCAAUCUUCAUUGUAAUGAGUCCAUUUCAAGAAGUGGUGAAUGGUUUCUUUAUUAUUCAUUUCUAGCUUCUCAAGAGAUUUCAGAAGGUUUAUUCAAAAUUAAAUUUUUUUCAUGAAUAUGACUUCAUGUGUGCAUGGAAUUGUAACACAGAAAACAGAAAAUUACCUUUCCUGAGUCAAGCACUGUGACUGUAAUAUGAAAAGAAAGAUGAUGCAACAUUAAUUGCUUCUGCGGUAAGAAAAAAUUGUUCUGGUAAGGUGUGAAAAUAAUGCAGUUUUGCCUUUUACUUUAUAUAUUGUUAGAAGAGUAUUUUGUACUUUAAAACAUUCUUGUUGUUUGACAUACUGCCAAUGAACCAUGCCAAAAUAACAGAAGUUUCUGCCAUGCAACCCUGAGAUAUGAGAGACAAAGAAAACCACAUCACACAAGAACUCCAUCACUGGAAAUCAUCAUCAGUGAAGAUGAGAAUAGGGAGAACAAAUAAAGGAAAGAUACCCAGAACAGUUUUCAGCAUUCUCCGUUUCCAAACAGAGAAAAUAUCAGCCUAUAUGCCAAUAUGAUAAGCAACUAGAGAACAGCAUCCUUCAAGGAAUAGAAUCUGGUAAGGUUUCAGGAAUUUACAGAUGCUGUACCUGCUACUGGCUUCUACAGAAAAAGCCACAUUCUCUUUUUAAUUUCAUGGAAGAUUUUACUAGUUUCAACAUUACCUAAACCUCAUUAUUUAAGACAAAGGAUUUUAAAAUGGGUGUUAGGAAGAUGCAUUGUCACAAAUAAUGGUAAAGAAGUCCAUCAGCCACCAAA
rnacentral:lncRNA from 1 species